AGAGUUUGAUCAUGGCUCAGAUUGAACGCUGGCGGCAUGCCUUACACAUGCAAGUCGAACGGCAGCGCGGGGCAACCUGGCGGCGAGUGGCGAACGGGUGAGUAAUAUAUCGGAACGUACCCUGGAGUGGGGGAUAACGUAGCGAAAGUUACGCUAAUACCGCAUACGAUCUAAGGAUGAAAAGUGGGGGCUUCGCAAGAACCUCAUGCUCCUGGAGCGGCCGAUAUCUGAUUAGCUAGUUGGUAGGGUAAAAGCCUACCAAGGCUUCGAUCAGUAGCUGGUCUGAGAGGACGACCAGCCACACUGGAACUGAGACACGGUCCAGACUCCUACGGGAGGCAGCAGUGGGGAAUUUUGGACAAUGGGCGCAAGCCUGAUCCAGCAAUGCCGCGUGAGUGAAGAAGGCCUUCGGGUUGUAAAGCUCUUUUGUCAGGGAAGAAACGGUGUUUUCUAAUACAGAACGCUAAUGACGGUACCUGAAGAAUAAGCACCGGCUAACUACGUGCCAGCAGCCGCGGUAAUACGUAGGGUGCAAGCGUUAAUCGGAAUUACUGGGCGUAAAGCGUGCGCAGGCGGUUUUGUAAGUUUGUCGUGAAAGCCCCGGGCUCAACCUGGGAAUUGCGAUGAAGACUGCAAGGCUUGAAUCUGGCAGAGGGGGGUAGAAUUCCACGUGUAGCAGUGAAAUGCGUAGAGAUGUGGAGGAACACCGAUGGCGAAGGCAGCCCCCUGGGUCAAGAUUGACGCUCAUGCACGAAAGCGUGGGGAGCAAACAGGAUUAGAUACCCUAGUAGUCC
rnacentral:rRNA from 1 species